CCACCACUGUCAAAUACACUCAGAGAAAUUUGUACUUAUGUACAGCAAGCUGGAAAACUUUAUCUUCUCAAUAUUUUUUCAGAUCCAGAUUUAAAUCUUAAAAUAAUGUUUAGUAUAUUUUACAAAAAUAUUUUAGCAGAAAAGGUUUUAUUCUACAAUGCCCAACACAUUUUUGCAUAUACUUUAAAAGGUUAGAUCAAGUUAAGUUAUGCAAUUAAUUAAGUCAUUAAGCAGAUAUUUAUUUGAGUGUAGACGCACAAUAGUCGGGCAAUUAAGAAGUUUCGCCAUGUGGCUACGUUUCUAAUUAUUUUCAAUUGAAUUGCUUUGCUAUACGUAAAACUUUUUCCAUUGCUACUGCCAUUAAACAUAUCGUGAAACUGCUCGGUCCCACCUCGAAUCCCCGGCCAUUGACAUUAUCCAAUGUCCCCCGGCGUCGAGUGGGUUUAUCGUGGAUGAGUGGGUGUACUCAGGGAGUAUAUAGCUAUCUAAGCUGCAGUGCAUCGGGAAAAGUUGAGCUCUCGCCGAGCCAAGUUUCACAAUAAAAAUUAAACAGGUACUGCGUUGUUUGUUAAUGAUAAGCGCUUCGUUGUUGCUGCUUUGUUCGAGUGGCCAUGGAUUUGGAUUAGUUGGCAAAGUGGAGUGAUGGUGAAGUCACUUUGCUAAAAUACAGCAAUUGUAAAGUGGAAAAUAAAAUGCGAUUGCAAAAAGUUCGUCCAUCACUGGGAACAACUGAAGUAGUGCUCCUCACACAAUUAUUUCAGUUCCUGAACAAAUUAUUGUUCUGUCAAAUAAUUAUUUAAAAAUAGAUAGAAGUACAUAAAUACGCCUAAGCCCUUCGGGUUUUUAAAGUAAUCAAGAUCAAUCCUUAGUGGCAUUUUCCAACACGCUGAGACUGUAAUUGAAUUCGGGCUCUCAAGUGCAGGUUAAGAAGCUUAAUUUAACCUAAAUGUGUUGCUCUGGCUUUUAUUGCCACCUACGCCCGUUCUUUAUCAAAUUUAUGGGCGACUUACAUUAGUCCAACUGCAAAACCGAGAUCAGAAAUGUACCUAAACGCCGGCAAGAUAAACGACUUGGUGUCUGAAAUACGGCUUGUUCUAGUAUGCUGGCCCAUGGUUGUCGGUUUCCAUUUUCGGGGUUUCGCCCGGGGGAUUCCCCUGCAAUCUGCGCCUGGUCAAAGGCAAAUGUGCGUCCGUUGUGGGGAUGCUGUUGCUGUUGCUGUUGCUGCUGCAGUGCGAAUCGAAUCGAAUCGAAUCGCAUCGAAUCGAUUUGAUUUUCCAAUCAAUUAAACUUUAUAUAAAUUGCGUCUGCGAUGCUAAAUAUAACAACAAUUGCACAGCGUUAGCAGCGCCAGCAACAGCAAACAUUUCCACAAAGCACAAAUAGAAAAUAGCACUAGAGUGAUUUCUCGUAUGUAUGUUAAUAAAAUAAUUUAUUAAAAUUA